rnacentral:rRNA from 1 species
GACGAACGCUGGCGGCGUGCCUAAUACAUGCAAGUCGAACGCAGUGGGGACGGGUGAGUAACACGUGGGUAACCUCCCAUCAGAGGGGAUAACACUUGGAAACAGGUGCUAAACCGAUACUGAUGGAUGGACCCGGGGUGCAUUAGCUAGUGGGUGAGGUAACGGCUCACCAAGGCCACGAUGCAUAGCUGAUCUGAGAGGGGGAUCGGCCAACCUGGUACGGAGACACGGCCCAGACGCCUACGGGAGGCAGCAGUAGGGAAUAUUCGGCAAUGGGCGUAAGUCGGACCGAGCAACGCCGCGUGAGUGAAGAAGGUUUUCGGAUCGUAAAACUCUGUUGUUAGGGAAGCGGUAUCUACCCAGAAAGCCACGGCUAACUACGUGCCAGCAGCCGCGGUAAUAC